rnacentral:misc_RNA from 1 species
GAUGAAGAACGUAGUGAAAUGCGAUAAGUAAUGUGAAUUGCAGAAUCCCGUGAACCAUCGAGUCUUUGAACGCAAGUUGCGCCCGAAGCCAUUAGGCCGAGGGCACGCCUGCCUGGGUGUCACACACCGUUACCCUCGCGCCAACGUCCAUCGUUGGCCGCGGCGCGGGGCGUGCGCUGACCUCCCGCGAGCGGGGUCUCGUGGUUGGUUGAAAAUCGAGUUCGCGGUCGAGGGUGCCGUGAUGAAAUGGUGGAUGGGCGACGCCCGAGGCCAAUCACGCGCGACUCUGUCCGGCUCGGACUCCUGGACCCCUUCGGCGUCUCCGGACGCUCUUUGGCGAGACCUCAGGUCAGGCGGGGCUACCCGCUGAGUUUAAGCAUAUCAAUAAGCGGAGGA